AGCGAACGCUGGCGGCAGGCCUAACACAUGCAAGUCGAACGGACCCUUCGGGGUUAGUGUCGGACGGGUGAGUAACACGUGGGAACGUGCCUUUAGGUUCGGAAUAGCUCCUGGAAACGGGUGGUAAUGCCGAAUGUGCCCUUCGGGGGAAAGAUUUAUCGCCUUUAGAGCGGCCCGCGUCUGAUUAGCUAGUUGGUGAGGUAACGGCUCACCAAGGCGACGAUCAGUAGCUGGUCUGAGAGGAUGACCAGCGACACUGGGACUGAGACACGGCCCAGACUCCUACGGGAGGCAGCAGUGGGGAAUCUUGCGCAAUGGGCGAAAGCCUGACGCAGCCAUGCCGCGUGAAUGAUGAAGGUCUUAGGAUUGUAAAAUUCUUUCACCGGGGACGAUAAUGACGGUACCCGGAGAAGAAGCCCCGGCUAACUUGGUG
rnacentral:rRNA from 1 species